GGCAACCCCUCUAACCUCUGCCUCCAGGCACAUUCCCACGAAGAGCUCUUGUCUGGUGCCGAAGUAACCAUUUGGAAACAUUAAAAGGACAGAAAUAUUCUAGAUAUAUCUAAAAGCUGGAGGCUAUAGCUGCUCAAACAGCCGAGAAACUUCUGCAGUUAUUGGUAGAGGAUAAAAGCGAUGGUUGAAGCUACUCUUAGCCAAGUUACUUCUACUUGAGCUAAACGUAUUCUUUGCUCAUUCAAAAUAUUUUGCAACACCACACUCUCCAUUUACAAGCAACAAAAGACCACAUCAGUGAACUCUGGAACUAUUUUCCAGAUGGGCCUGCCUCUGAGAAAAUCCAGAAAUACAAAUGCAACCGGGCAAACUGCAGGAGAAUGGUCAAUCAUGGAGACGCUCUUGCUUCUAGGCUACACGCCUGCCUCGAGUCUGCUCCAGAAGGGAUUUCAUGUCCACAUAGGAUCAGGGAUUGAGACAUGCCAAGCAGUUCGGAUGCUGUUACUGCUGCUGCUGCUGUUUGCAAUCCUGCAGUGGAUAGAACCCAGGGCCUCACGAAUGCCAGGCAAGUGCCUCAGCUAGUACAGCAUUCCCACCCCCUCCACACGUUUUCGUGCAAACGUUCUACUUAAU
rnacentral:lncRNA from 1 species